rnacentral:tRNA from 1 species
UCCCUGGUGGUCCAGUGGUUAGGACUUUGCCUUCCAAUGCAGGGAGUGUGGGUUCAACCCCUGGUCAGGGAA